GGGUCCAGAAAUUUAUAAAUAUUUCUGGAGGUUAAAAGCUGGAUGGUCGGGCCGCUAUCC
rnacentral:ncRNA from 2 species